rnacentral:rRNA from 1 species
UACAGAGGGUGCGAGCGUUAAUCGGAAUUACUGGGCGUAAAGAGCGUGUAGGCGGCCAGGUAGGUCUGCUGUGAAAACUCGAGGCUCAACCUCGAGACGUCGGCGGAAACCAUCUGGCUAGAGUCCGGAAGAGGAGAGUGGAAUUCCUGGUGUAGCGGUGAAAUGCGCAGAUAUCAGGAAGAACACCCGUGGCGAAGGCGGCUCUCUGGGACGGUACUGACGCUGAGACGCGAAAGCGUGGGGAGCGAACAGG